UGGCCGUAAACGAUGUGGACUUGGUGUUGGAAUGGCUUCGAGUUGUUCCAGUGCCGAAGGGAAGCUGUUAAGUCCACCGCCUGGGAAGUACGGUCGCAAGACUGAAACUUAAGGAAUUGGCGGGGGGAGCACCACAACGCGUGGAGCCUGCGGUUUAAUUGGAUUCAACGCCGGACAUCUCACCAGGGAAGACUGUUACAUGAAGGCCGAGAUGAAGACUCUGCUAGAUUUUCAGAGAGGAGGUGCAUGGCGUCAGUGACU
rnacentral:rRNA from 1 species